GGAGAAUCGCUCAGUGGUAGAAUGCUUGCCUAGUGUGCAAGAAGCUAUGGGUUCAAUUCUCAGCACCA
rnacentral:tRNA from 1 species